AUUUCUAGAGAUAGAAAGUUACUUCGGUACAUCGGUGACAGGUGGUGCAUGGUUGUCGUCAGCUCGUGUCGUGAGAUGUUGGGUUAAGUCCCGCAACGAGCGCAACCCCUAUUGUUAGUUGCCAUCAUUCAGUUGGGCACUCUAGCGAGACUGCCGGUAAUAAACCGGAGGAAGUGGGGAUGACGUCAAAUCAUCAUGCCCCUUAUGACCUGGGCUACACACGUGCUACAAUGGUUGGUACAACGAGUUGCGAGUCGGUGACGGCGAGCUAAUCUCUUAAAGCCAAUCUCAGUUCGGAUUGUAGGCUGCAACUCGCCUACAUGAAGUCGGAAUCGCUAGUAAUCGCGGAUCAGCACGCCGCGGUGAAUACGUUCCCGGGCCUU
rnacentral:rRNA from 1 species